UAGGGAAUCUUCGGCAAUGGACGAAAGUCUGACCGAGCAACGCCGCGUGAGUGAAGAAGGUUUUCGGAUCGUAAAACUCUGUUGUUAGAGAAGAACAAGGACGUUAGUAACUGAACGUCCCCUGACGGUAUCUAACCAGAAAGCCACGGCUAACUACGUGCCAGCAGCCGCGGUAAUACGUAGGUGGCAAGCGUUGUCCGGAUUUAUUGGGCGUAAAGCGAGCGCAGGCGGUUUCUUAAGUCUGAUGUGAAAGCCCCCGGCUCAACCGGGGAGGGUCAUUGGAAACUGGGAGACUUGAGUGCAGAAGAGGAGAGUGGAAUUCGAUGUGUAGCGGUGAAAUGCGUAGAUAAAUGGAGGAACACCAGUGGCGAAGGCGGCUCUCUGGUCUGUAACUGACGCUGAGGCACGAAAGCGUGGGGAGCAAACAGG
rnacentral:rRNA from 1 species